rnacentral:rRNA from 1 species
GAUGAACGCUGGCGGCAGGCCUAAUACAUGCAAGUCGAGGGGUAACACUUCGGGUGACGACCGGCGAAUGGGUGCGUAACGCGUAUAUAACUUGCCUCAAACAGGAGGAUAGCUCUACGAAAGUGGAAUUAAUACUGCAUAAUACUAUAUUGUCGCAUGGCAUAAUAGUUAAAAUUUCGAUGGUUUGAGAGAGGUAUGCGUUCCAUUAGUUAGUUGGUGAGGUAAUGGCUCACCAAGACGAUGAUGGAUAGGGGUUCUGAGAGGAUGAUCCCCCACACCGGAACUGAGACACGGUCCGGACUCCUACGGGAGGCAGCAGUAGGGAAUAUUGGUCAAUGGGCGCAAGCUUGAACCAGCCAUGCCGCGUGCAGGAUGAAGGCGCUCGUCGUUGUAAACUGCUUUUAUAUGGGAAGAAAGAGUUCUUGCGAGAACAGUUGACGGUACCAUAUGAAUAAGCACCGGCUAACUCCG